CACGAAGUUAGCCGGGGCUUAUUCUCCCGGUACAGUCAUUAUCUUCCCGGGUAAAAGAGCUUUACAACCCUAAGGCCUUCAUCACUCACGCGGCAUGGCUGGAUCAGGCUUGCGCCCAUUGUCCAAUAUUCCCCA
rnacentral:rRNA from 1 species